UAUGCCCACUAUACCACUGAAUGCACUCAAUCCGCUCUGAUCUUGGAAGCUAAGCAGGGCCAGACCUGGUUAGUACUUGGAUGGGAGAAUGCCCAGGAAUACCUGGUGCUGUUGGCAUUC
rnacentral:rRNA from 1 species